rnacentral:lncRNA from 1 species
CGGGGCUGGGGGCGGGGCGGGGCUAGGGCCCCCCCGAUGGGCGGGGCCGGGGCGGGGCUGGGGCCCUGGUGGGCGGGGCGGGGCCGGCGCGGGGGCGGGGCUGGAGCCCCGGUGGGCGGCGCGGGGCGGGGGCCGGGGCUGGGGCCGGAGCGCGCCGGGCGCCGGAGGACUCGCCGCUGACGGAGCCGCGCCGCGGUGCCUGCCUGUCCGCCCGCCGUCCCCGCGGCCCCGCGCAGCCCGCCCGGCGGGGGAGGCGCCGCGCACCGGGACGAUGGUCUGCAGGGCUGUGUUCGCGCUCUGCGUCCUCGCGGCAGUUGUAUCAGAAAAGCAAGCUACAGACUGAAUGUACAUCGUGAUGAAAUAUUUAAGACAUAUUUAUGUGCGUGCCUGUAGAGAAAAUCAUUUAGAAGAAUACGGUGGUUAUUUCUGGCAGGUGAGCCUUGGGUUAGUUUCAGUUUUUAUGCUCUUUUCUAUUGUCUGAAAUUGUUAAAAAAGUUUGUUUUGCCUGCACAAUUAAAAGAGUAGAGAUAUUGUCACUGUUUUAAUCCCCCUUUAUCAACACUUAAUGUGGCUCUCGUAACUGCUGCGCAGCUAUUUCUAGCCUCAAUAUCUUGAUUGGGAAAUCCUUCUGAUGGAGCCAUCAAAACCCGUAUCUCAGAAAAGCAAAUAACCUCGAGGGGUUUACAGGAUAUCACUGACGUAAUGGGCAGGGAAGGUUCUGGGAAGGAAUUGACUUAAAGCAAUAUUCUAUUUUAUGAAACCAGAGCGCUACAUAAAUCAUCGAUCAGAACAACUCUCUUGGACACUGUUUUAAGAGACUCUGACUCAACUGGUCAGUAUUUGAGAUUCUUUGUUUUCAAUACUUGAUGGUCACUUAUGGGAGCAAUUUUAAAUGAAAACAUUAUUCUGAGCUUUUCUAUAGUGAAACGUGUCCUCUUAGAUGUAAGAAAACAAGUGGCCCCCAGAAGAGCGCAUGAUCUGCUUUUCUUUGGCAACAUUAAAUCUGAUACAUCAUCUUUCCAAUAAGAUAAUCAAUAAAAUGUGGUUUAGGCAAAUGCUGGAGCGUUACUGACAGUCCGUGAGCACGUAGGCCGGCCCCUUCA